rnacentral:rRNA from 1 species
GACGAACGCUGGCGGCGUGCUUAACACAUGCAAGUCGAACGGAAAGGCCCUGCUUUUGUGGGGUGCUCGAGUGGCGAACGGGUGAGGAACACGUGAGUAACCUGCCCUUGACUUUGGGAUAACUUCAGGAAACUGGGGCUAAUACCGGAUAGGAGCUCCUGCUGCAUGGUGGGGGUUGGAAAGUUUCGGCGGUUGGGGAUGGACUCGCGGCUUAUCAGCUUGUUGGUGGGGUAGUGGCUUACCAAGGCUUUGACGGGUCGCCGGCCUGAGAGGGUGACCGGCGACAUUGGGACUGAGAGACGGCCCAGACUCCUACGGGAGGCAGCAGGGGGGAAUAUUGCACAAUGGGCGGAAGCCUGAUGCAGCAACGCCGCGGGCGGGAUGACGGCCUUCGGGGUGUAAACCGCUUUCGCCUGUGACGAAGCGGGAGUGACGGUAAUGGGAGAAGAAGCACCGGCUAACUACGUG